AGCAAUCAUCAUCUCCAAUGAAGAACCCUAGCGGCGCUGCCUGAAGCCCUGUCGCCAUCCCUCGCCCCCGUGGUGUCGCCACUCGCCAUCCUCAGCUCCAGCAACCCUCCAAUCUCCGGCGUCGCCUGGUUCCUGCUCAUCUUCAUCUUCUCGUCGCCUGGUGCCCUCAAUUUCGAUCGUCUUCAUCUUCACCAGCACGCAGCAGCCUCUCAUCGGCGGUCCUCAACGGUCAACACCGGGAGCCCUCCAUCGACCCCAGUCACAGAUUUAAGAUCAAAGGUUGCAUUUAUCUCGCUAUUCUACCUCUGGAGAAUAAGAAAGUUACUAGCAGGGUACCAAUUUUCUUAUUCUUACUAUUGUUGUUGUUGAUCCUUUGCUUUUACUUAAUUUCUCAUUUCUAAGCUUGUUUUAGUUCAUCAGUGGUAAUUUUUCCCCAUGCUAUUGUUGAAUAAAUCCAAAUCAUCUGAGCAAUUUGCCCAGUAGCUCCUAGAAAUUAGAAAAACUUGUUUCUUGCAUGAAUUGAACCUUUCUUGCAUGCUUAAUUCAUUGCCUGAAUUUGUUUAUAGCAUAGUUGAGGUUUGAUUAAUAGCACGAGUUUUAGCUUGCUUUAGGUCUUGUAUUUGAUUAUAGUUGGGGUUUCAUUUUAUUUUUUUUUCUUUUACUGAUUUGUAUUUUUCUUCCUUUUAAACAAAUGUUGUUUUGGCUUAUCGUUGCAUCGGACUCAAUUUUAGUUGCUGAAGUUUGAUU